GUGGGUGUAGGGGUGCCUGAGGAGAAAGGGGUGCUGGUUCUUCCUUAUAUCCCCUGCCUGCCUCAGCUGGGCUCUGACCCAGCCAGCAGACUGGAGUCCUCUUCUGCAUGAUUCUACAAAGAUCCUAUAUUUGAUGUCAACAUCUUAACAAGCAUGGCUAAUGACGAUGUCUGGUGUAUUUAUUUAAAAGCUUAGAAACCUUGGCAUAGUGCCUUCCUGGAAAUCCCGGAUUGCAUCUAAAACCAUGUGGCAGAGGGAGAAACAACAGACAGGCCAUCCUGAGAAGACUCAGGCUGGGACGAAAGCUCUGCUCUCCAGGGACAAAGCAGCAGGGGACCAGCCAUGCUCAGAAAUACUCCACUGGCCAGUGCACAUUUUUUUGAGCAAUUUCACUUGCUUCCACACCACCUGCCCCCCUAACGCUUCUAUUAAAGUGGCAAAUAAAUCUGAUACCCA
rnacentral:lncRNA from 1 species